GCGGGAGUAGCUCAAUUGGCUAGAGCAUCGGCCUUCCAAGCCGAAGGUUACGGGUUCGAGCCCCGUUUCCCGCC
rnacentral:tRNA from 1 species